rnacentral:antisense_RNA from 1 species
GUGUUGCUGACAAGAGAGGAGCAGGCUGAGAGAAAACGCCCUGUUUGUCACAAAGUUACAUCUGCGAGCUCCUUCAAGGAAGGGAGUGCCCCUGGAGAGUGGAGAGGGUGGUUCUCUUGGCUGUCUCUGGAACAAAUUUGGGUAAGUGCUCAAAGAUGUGUUACUACAGAAUGUACUUGUGAAGCUCUUGUUGCAGUGCAGUCAGAUAAGCAAAGAUAUCUGCUAGAAAAUAAAGAAAAAGCUACACAAUUUUAGACUUUGUAGUUCAUUGUCUUUUAAGACAGCAAGUCCUGCUAUUGUCUGUCAUAAAGCUACAGAAAAAGACCAUAUUGAAAACUGACGAUAGCAGUUGAUUAUUUGUGAAAAGCCUGAGAGAUGAUUCAGUAAAUACAAGGUGAAUUUCAUUGCAUCUUCAUGCAAUCAGAGACUUGCAUACACUUUUUAUCCCCUAAACAGAUGAACGAAUGGCAUGGGCCAGCUAGCAGGGAGUUGGCAGGAUAAAGUUCUAACCAACAAUUGCCACUUGCCUUCCUUUCUUCCGUCAGCUUCUAGCUUACCUUUCAGAGACAGGUUCUAUCAAAGGAAACCUAAAGGGAACCUUCCUCCUUGGCCCUGCCCCAUCUGGCGUCCACAAGGAUACUACACUCCAGUGAAGACU